CGAAGCAAAGAUUAUCCGCACGCCUCUGGCGGCGAAAUUUAGAAACUCUCUAAGAACGACACUUUGUUUGUUUAUUUGUUGAGGUUAUGUUAGAUUAUUCAGAUGGAUCACGAUUAUUUAAAGAAACCUGUUGCUAAUAAAAGCAGAAAUACGAAAUAUUGUUGCGUUCCUCAAUGUAGUACUUACGGAGAUACGGGAAUAAGUUUUCAUUUAUUCCCAAAAGACAAAAUAAUGAAGAAAAAAUGGAAGACUGCUUUAAGAAUAGGCAAGCCAAUUUCACCAUCAAUGAGAGUUUGUUCUCAUCAUUUUCAAACUUCAAACUUUUUUCCGGGCAAUUCUAAAAGGCAGAAGUUGUUUCCUUAUGCCGUACCGUCUCAGAAUAUUCCUAAAAUAAGCUCUGAUAAAGAAGUACCAUUAGUGCAAAUAAAAAAAACAAUUGCUCGAGAAAAUAGGGCUGUUAUUAGACACAGGAAAAUAGUGGAAUCAAAUAAAGAGGUUGGACUUGCUAUGGAGAAUGAAAAAACUAAAUUUGAGGAUAAUAAUAUAACUGAUAACAACAGUCAUCAUCAUGUCAAGACUUCAUCGACACAAGUCAAUUUAGUGGAUUACAGAAAUUAGACUUGUAAAUAAAGAAUAUUCACUGUUUGGUGCGCCUGAAAUAAACAGCAUAAUUUUAGAAACUU